AUGUAUAUAAUAAUUUUCAAGAUGAAAAAAAUUAUCUCAGAGAAGUUUAGCCACUUACCCAAGAUAACCCAACUAGUAGUCGGUACAGUUUCAACCAGGUCUGAGUCCAAAACAAAUAACAUUUUAUUUAUUUUUCAGCAGAUACUUCAAGAUCAGGCACCCAAGAUUCGCUGUCCCUCAACAUUUCUCUACAUUGUUAAAAGGGAACUCAGAAUCAAGUAUGAAGAAGAGCUCAGCUCUUAGAAACAUAGGACCAUCUGGCACGCAUUAUGAAUAGUACGUAUUUUUGAGAAAAAAAAAUCCAACCAAGAUUUCGUCUGGAGGAAAACUUCAUAACACAGUACAUGAAUCAGUCAGAAUGUUGCUACAUUCAUUGCUACAUGUUUUUACUGUUUUUGUUUUAAUGUGACCAUGGAAACAUGGAAAGCAGCUAAUAAAUCUUUGAUGAUACUCA